rnacentral:ribozyme from 1 species
UUGCUCAUCAUUGUUCCAUUACUAUGGUACCAAUACUUGUUCUAUCAUUACCAUGCUACAAGUACAACUACUACUACUGCUACCACUACUUCAUCAUUUUCGUACAUACCCAGUAUCA